rnacentral:lncRNA from 1 species
CAGAAUGUAGAGGAGGGUUCAGCCCGUAAAAGGAAAGAAAGUUUCGUUAUCAGGAAAUCGAAACUUAAGCAGGGAAAGGGACGGGAUAUAACCUUAUAAGGGGGAUAAUGAAACUUAGGCAACGUCUUGGAAGAUUGUAACCCCAUAGUACUCAACCAAUGCAGAACUCGUGGAGGGACUUGUGUGCUAGGAGAUAAAUUACCUGUUGUGACUUCCCUGGAUGUACCUGCUCAGACACCCGACCUUGCAAGAUCGUUAUUAAAGUCUCACUUUCGCUGUUCUUCGUGCCUCUAAGUCCAUUCUUCGGGUUUGGAUGGAAUCCCCUUCCUUGUAUGGCUCUGAGUAAGAUUUGGCCAAGAGGAAUUUGCACAAGAUUUUAGAAGGCAGGAACAAUGCAACAGACGUGACUCAAUGAAGAUUUCAGGAUUAGGAUAGUGAUGGACACUCACAAAGAGUCUUACUUCUUUGCCCAGGCUGGAGUGCAAUGACAUGAUCUUGGCUCACUGCAACCUCCACCUCCCGGGUUCAAGCAAUUCUCCUGCCACAGCCUCCCCAGUAGCUGGGAUUACAGCCAUGUGCCACCAUGCCUGACUAAUUUUUGUAUUUUUAGUAGAGACGGGGCUUCACCCUGUUGGCCAGGUUGGUCUCGAACUCCUGACCUCAAGUGAUCCACCUGCCUCGGCCUCCCAAAGUGCUGGGCUUACAGGCGUGAGCCACUGUGCUCGGCCAAUAACUGACUGUUUUAAAGCAAAAUAAUGAUGUUUUGUGAGAUUGUAAAAACAAGAAGAGAGAUGAAAGUAUACUCUUGUUUCUUACAUUUUAUGUGAAACAGUUUAAUUCCAUUUAACCCUUUUCCCAUUUGCCCCAAGAAUACUUGCUGGCAGCACUUGUAGCUACAGAGUUUACCGUGAGAUACCUUUGCCACAAAAUAUCUCACUUUUAUAAUUAUUGUUGCAUUGCUCUAGUAAUAUUGACUCCCGAAACAAAAGACAUCAUUCUAUUUAUAGCAUUCUGUUUUUAGUAGUGGUAUUUCCAUUUAUAAAAUAUAGUAAUUCUCAAUCACUGAAAAUGUCAAAUCCUAGAAUACAUAGCAUUCCUAUGAGUGAUGUUAACAUUGUUCUUGAACAGUUGUUGGCCAAAAAUUUGAUAAAUCCAAUUUUUCUGAAAUAGAUGAUUCUAAUGAUUCACACAAUUCUGAUGUUAGUUCUAUUUAGAAAUAACUCCAAGAACAGUUUUUAUAUUUUAUUUUCACAUUGGAAAUCAGAUUUGC